UCGAGAAUUUUUCUCAAUGGGGGAAACCCUGAAGGAGCGACGCCGCGUGGAGGAUGAAGGUCUUCGGAUUGUAAACUCCUGUCAUUUGGGAACAAUUGUUAUCCGUUAACUGCGGGUGAUUUGAUAGUACCAGAAGAGGAAGAGACGGCUAACUCUGUGCCAGCAGCCGCGGUAAUACAGAGGUCUCAAGCGUUGUUCGGAUUCAUUGGGCGUAAAGGGUGCGUAGGUGGCGCCAUAAGUCAGGUGUGAAAUCUCGGGGCUCAACCCCGAAACUGCACUUGAUACUGUGGUGCUGGAGUACUGGAGAGGAGAUUGGAAUUUACGGUGUAGCAGUGAAAUGCGUAGAUAUCGUAAGGAAGACCAGUGGCGAAGGCGAAUCUCUGGACAGUUACUGACACUGAGGCACGAAGGCCAGGGGAGCAAACG
rnacentral:rRNA from 1 species